UUCAGUUUUCACUUUAACUUCACUUUCCCUUAUCACAUGUCCCUCGUCUCUCUCUAUUCCCGAAGAAGCCAUUUCCUCUCUCUUCUUUGGUCUCGAAGAAGCAAAUUUCCCUACUCCUUCUCCAUUUUGAUUGACCCUUCCCCUUUCCCGGAAACUAGGUUCCAAUGUAUGUGAGCCCUAGAUACAGUGUUUGGUGGUGGGUUGAGCUUCGUUGAAGGUCGCUGAAGAGGUUAUCGUGCGAGGCGAGCAAAGUGGUGGUUGCGUUGAGCUUAAAUGGUGUUCAAGUUUGUGGCUUUAUUGGACAUUGGAAGGUAUAGCGAGUUCGUCCCCGAUUUGUGGCAAUCUAGCACAAUUUGUGCUCUGUGAAGGUACCUGGUGGUAUGUCUGAUAUGUAUGGUGUUGUAGGAGUAUAAAAUGGACCGCAAACGUGAUGGAUAUGUUCAUUGCUCUGAGGAGAAGAAGAAUCGGUUGAAGGAAGGAGACAAAAUUGUCUUUGAGGUUGAUCAUCUCCAAAAACAACCCAUAAUUGAGGUUUUCAUCAAUGGAUGCAAUUGUGAUGUGGCAAAGUCCAUUAAUUUAGUUUAAAUUCAUCAUGUGGGAUGCAUGAAUUUCGUUGUUUGAACAAUUUUCUUAUCGUUGUAAUUUAAUUUCCUAUCGUUACCUUUGAUAAUUAUAUUUAUGCAAAUCAAUUUAAAU